AGAGUUUGAUCAUGGCUCAGAAUGAACGCUGGCGGCGUGGAUUAGGCAUGCAAGUCGCGCGAGAAAAUCCCCUUCGGGGGGUGAGUAGAGCGGCGAACUGGUGAGUAACAGGUGGGUAAUGUGCCCUGAAGUGUGGAAUAACCCGGGGAAACCCGGGCUAAUACCGCAUGUGGCCUCAAGGUUUAUGGACCUAAAGGUUAAAGGCUUCGGCCGCUUCAGGAUCAGCCCGCCCCCGAUUAGCUAGUUGGCGAGGUAAUGGCUCACCAAGGCUUCGAUCGGUAGCUGGUCUGAGAGGAUGGUCAGCCACACUGGGACUGAGAUACGGCCCAGACUCCUACGGGAGGCAGCAGUGGGGAAUAUUGCACAAUGGGCGCAAGCCUGAUGCAGCGACGCCGCGUGAGGGAUGACGGCCUUCGGGUUGUAAACCUCUUUCAGCAUCGACGAAGCGCAAGUGACGGUAGAUGCAGAAGAAGCACCGGCCAACUACGUGCCAGCAGCCGCGGUAAUUC
rnacentral:rRNA from 1 species